UCGGGCGACCAAGUCCCUCUUUUGGGUGAGUUUUUUUUUUUUUUUUUAGGUGAACAAGCACUGACGCCGAUCAUCUUGCAGGGACAACAUUACACUAUGGCGUUGAUCGACCGCGAUUACACAUCAGUCGGGUGAUCGAGCGCAUGGGCGAGGUGAACUCGAGCCUUCGUCGAGAGAUCGAGGAGCUGAAAGGUGGGCCU
rnacentral:lncRNA from 1 species